CCUACGGGAGGCAGCAGUGGGGAAUUUUGGACAAUGGGCGCAAGCCUGAUCCAGCCAUGCCGCGUGAGUGAAGAAGGCCUUCGGGUUGUAAAGCUCUUUCGGCAGGAACGAAAUGGUUCGUGCUAAUACCACGGACUGAUGACGGUACCUGAAGAAGAAGCACCGGCUAACUACGUGCCAGCAGCCGCGGUAAUACGUAGGGUGCAGGCGUUAAUCGGAAUUACUGGGCGUAAAGCGUGCGCAGGCGGUUUCUUAAGUCAGAUGUGAAAGCCCCGGGCUUAACCUGGGAACUGCGUUUGAAACUGGGAGACUUGAGUGUGGCAGAGGGGGGUGGAAUUCCACGUGUAGCAGUGAAAUGCGUAGAUAUGUGGAGGAACACCGAUGGCGAAGGCAGCCCCCUGGGUUAACACUGACGCUCAUGCACGAAAGCGUGGGGAGCAAACAGGAUUAGAUACCCUGGUAGUCCACGCCCUAAACUAUGUCAACUGGUUGUCGGGGGAUUAACUCCCUUGGUAACGAAGCUAACGCGUGAAGUUGACCGCCUGGGGAGUACGGCCGCAAGGUUAAAACUCAAAGGAAUUGACGG
rnacentral:rRNA from 1 species